GCAUGCCGCGUGCAGGAUGAAGGCCUUCGGGUUGUAAACUGCUUUUGUACGGAACGAAACGGCGAGCUCUAAUACAGUUUGCUAAUGACGGUACCGUAAGAAUAAGCACCGGCUAACUACGUGCCAGCAGCCGCGGUAAUACGUAGGGUGCGAGCGUUAAUCGGAAUUACUGGGCGUAAAGCGUGCGCAGGCGGUGAUGUAAGACAGAUGUGAAAUCCCCGGGCUCAACCUGGGACCUGCAUUUGUGACUGCAUCGCUAGAGUACGGCAGAGGGGGAUGGAAUUCCGCGUGUAGCAGUGAAAUGCGUAGAUAUGCGGAGGAACACCGAUGGCGAAGGCAAUCCCCUGGGCCUGUACUGACGCUCAUGCACGAAAGCGUGGGGAGCAAACAGGAUUAGAUACCCUGGUAGUCCACGCCCUAAACGAUGUCAACUGGUUGUUGGGUCUUCACUGACUCAGUAAC
rnacentral:rRNA from 1 species